AUGUUUUGCUUUUUACUUUAUAUUAUGCAUAGUUUGGGAUACAUAAUAUGCAUAUAAAGAGAAUACAAAUAUUACCUACAUAUUAAAAUCUUAUAAGAAGGCAAAAUAAAGCCACGAGUCAAUAUAAUUUCAAUACCAUGUAACCCAAUGAUCAAUACUAACAUCUUUUUCUGAGACUACUCCACAGUUUUCCAAGUGGUCAAAUAGUAUUAGUUCUUGUCUGCUUCCAAUCAGUUCUUGUCUGCUUUCAUCCUCAUUGCAGCUAGAGGAAUAUUUCUGAAACACACAUAUGAUCAUAUAGUAUUUUCUGCUUAAAAGACUUUCACGGCUUUCCAUUUAAUUUUAAGACAAAAAAUAUAUAUACUUCUUUAAACACAGCUCAAAAAUCUCUGCAAGAGUUUAUAUUUAUUCACUUCUCAAACCUCAUCUUUGUUUUUACUCCAGAUCCCCCUAACCACAGAAAUUCUGUACUCGUGAUUACUUCCACCUCUAGGUUUGCUUAGAUGGAAUUAACAUCUUCAUAUCUAUACCCAAGUCUAAUCAUUUCCGAAGACAACACUUCUUCGUCCUCCCUGAGUAUAUCGAUACCUUAAUAGGUGCUUGUGUGGUACCAAGUAUCUUUCAUUCGUGGCACUAGCUACCUUUGUGAUGUUACAUUUACUUGAAUGGCUAUCUGAUUAAUAUCAGCCUUCCUCUCUAAACUCUAAACUGUAGGAUGACUCUUACAGGUUAUGUUUCUAUUUUUUUUUUGUCAUUAUUUAAGCAAGUCUCAGGCAUGAUUUGUACUUACAGUUAUUAAGCUAAUUAACUGUCUUUUUUUUUUCUUUUCUGUUAAGAACCCUGAAAAUAAAGCACACAGUAGAACCCUAGGGAUUAGGCAAAAAAAGCAGACAGGACUAGGGUACAUUUGCAUGGUAACUAUUGAAGAAUAGAAAGGGAACACAGAGAAUUCCACAGCAGAGUAAAGGAAGAGAAAUACUAGAGGAGGUGAUUUUAGGAAUAAAAUGGUAGGUUUCUGUAUUUGAUACAUGGUCAAUGAAGAGAACAGGUAACAACUAGGAAGAAUCAAUUCUGUUGUGAAUCCGGUUUUUUUCACGUGAGUAAACAAACUCUAACCGUGCCUUCCCUACAUUUCACAUUUUCCAAUGUGUGCUGCAUGUGAGGAAAACAACCUGCUUAGACUGGUCUUAAAGGUGAUCUGCUUAGUGACCAGAAAAUUCACUUAUAGAAGAAACUUUAUGUGCCAAUGAUUUAAACUUGUUCCACUCUAAACAGAGCACUUUCAAUGGCCCUGAAGAAUGCUGUUCAAAGUGCAGCCUUGGGGGGCAUUAGAGCCAAGGCAACAGGUCACACUCUGUUUUCCAUUCACAAUUCCCUUUGUUGCAUGUUUCAGAGUUUCUUUCUCUCUUUUUCCUAAAAGUCCCUAUACAUUCACGUUGGUGUUCUGCUAGUAUUUGAAAAUAUACCAAGAAAAUACAGAUCUUUGAGGAAAUUUCAAAUUAUUAGAGGUAAAGUAAUACUCAAAAAGAGUGUGUUAUCGGGAUACCUGGCUGGUUUAGUCGGCUGAGCAUCCAACUCUUGAUUUUGGCUCAGGUCAUGAUCUCACAGUUCAUAAGAUCCAGCCCUGCACUGUCAGUGAGGAGCCUGCUUGGGAUUCUCUCUCCCUCUCUCUCUGCUCCUUCUCCCCUGUCUCUUAAAAUAAGUAAACUUAAAAAAUAAGCGACUGUGUUCUCUCUUACAGUUCUCAGAUUAAAUUCAUCCUCUGCAUAAUCCCUUAUUGAUUAUGAAAACAAGGUUUUAUAAUCUUGUAACAGAGACAGAGCGGGAGAUCAGAAACCCAUGUAACAUUAAUUUGCAGAUAUUAGUUUGCAUGUCUUUGGAAAAUCUUUCUUAGAAAUACAGAAGUAUUCUUGUAAAAGGUGAUUAAAUUUGGGUACAUUUUUGGUUUGAUGGAUUUUUUUUUUUAUUUUUCAAGAGAUGAGACACACAAAGAUGUGACAUUGCCAUUAUCAAGUUUUGUCUGUCUUCUAUAUUGCCUUAUGAAAAACAUUUUUUCUGUUCUUUCAUAUAUUUAUGUGUGUUUAUAGUAAACCUUUAAGUCUCUCCUUAUUUCUAAAUAAUGCACACUUUCCUCUAUUUGUAAAGGGAAUUUUUGUUAGAUUUGGUUUGGUGUAUACCUUUUUUUUUUUAAUAUUCAAAGGUAAGAAAUGUAUAUUUAAGGCCAAAACUAAAUAGCCUUUUGUAGAUUGGACUCAUAUGGAAUUACAUGUUUUCAAAUUAAUGGUAAUUAAAAUAUGGCACUGGUCAAAUUGUAGCAGGAUUCUCGCAUGGAGAGUCGUGACACAGAGGCUUUUCUUUCCAGAAAGCAAAUUUAUUUGUGCUGACACUGCUCAGUUGGGUUUGUACCUGAAGAACUGAGUCCCGAACACCACAUGGCAUAAUUUUUUAUUUAUUUGUCUCCCCUACAUGGUAAUACACAAACAUGCAGUCUGAUUAAGUGGUCGUAUGUUACAAGGUCAUGAGGGAUAUUGGCACGUACGUGUGACCAGUAUGCAUAUAGCCAGGUUGCCUUGAGAUUUUUUUUUCCCUCUCCAUAGGGAGGGGAUCCUACCACAAAACCACCUCACAUAAAGCAUGAACUAAGAAAUAGAAAUUCUAGCACUUAUGAUACAUUUUUAGGAGUUUCAUUGAUUUCAGCUGUCUGCAUUUUCAUUCACAGAUUAUCCUCCAUUUAAUACCCAGUCUUUAUAUAUGCCGGUGUCCAUUUAUAUGCAUGUCUAAUCUGUGGCUAGAAGAGAUCAAGCUUUUGGGUUAGAAUGUUAACUAAAUGAAUGUAAAGAUUAUAGAUUAUAGAUAUAUAUAGAUCAUGUGUGUGAGAGAGAGAGAGGCUAAAAGCAAUGUGCAGGAUACGCAUGGUUAACAGUUUCAUAUAUGUUCAUUUGGAAUUUUUCAAAAAUAAUUUGGGAAACGUAAGAAAAAUGUUUGUUUCCAGUUACUGCUCAUCAUCUGCACUACUAAUCCUGCAGCACAAACCACUCUAAUUUCUCACCUAGAUUAGAGUAAUAACCUCCUAACUGAUAUCCCUGCAUUUUAUCCCCUUCAGAGAACAACCAGAGUCAUCAUUUUAAACAUAGUAUUACUGUUCUGUUCAAAAAUGCCCAAUGGCUUCAUAACCUACUGACAAUAAAAUACGAGGUUCUCAAUAUGGCCCAAAAUAUUUUACAUAGUCUAGCCCUUGAUAAUUCCCCUUCCUUGUCUUCUACCAUUUAUCUCUCACUUGUUAUUUCCAGCUACAUAGACCCUUGUGGCUGUUCUUCAAGAACCACCAGCAGGUUUCUGUUUAAAUGCUUUUCUUCUAAUAGCCCAUGACAUACUCUCUGCUCUUUUCUUUUUCAUUUUUGCUCAAAUUUCCACCUCCUUACAGCCUUCUUUAACAAUCCAUUUGAUUAACAAACCAUAGGCAUACCUCCAAGAUACUGUGGAUUUGGUUACAGAUCACUGCAAUAAAAUGACUAUCACAAUAAAGCAAGUCAAAUGAAUUUUUGGGAUUCCCAGUGCAUAUGAAGAUACGUUUAUACUAUCCUGUAGUCUUUUGAAUGUGCAACAGCAUUAUGUCUAAGAAAAUAAUGUGCAUACCUUAAUUUAAAAAAAUCCUUUCUUGCUAAAAAUGCUAAUCAUCAUUUGAGCUUUCAGCAAGUUGUAAUCUUUUUGUACGUGGAAGGUCUUUCCUUGAUAUUGAUGGCUGCUGACUGAUGAGGGUGCUGGUAGCUAAGGUGGGGUGGCUAUGGCAAUUUCUUAAGCUAAGACAACAGUGAAGUUUGCUGCAUCGAUUGACUCUUCCUUUCACAAACAAUUCUGUGUAGCAAGUGAUGCUGUUUGAUAGCAUUAUACCACAGUAGAACUUCUUUCAAAAUUGGAGUCAAUCCUGCCAAAUCCUGCAUUGGCUUUAUCAACUAAGUUUAUGUGAUAUGGUAAAUGCUUUCUUGUUGUUUCAACAGUCUUCAUAUCAUCUUCGUCAGGAGUAGAUUCUAUCUCAUGAAACCACUUUCUAAAAAAUAAAGAAAACCAAAAAGCAAAAACAAACAAACAAACAAAAACUCUUUGCUCAUCCAUAAAAAGCAACUCCUAAUCUGUGAAAGUUUUACCAUGAGAUUUAAGCAAUUCAGUCCCCUCCGCUGGUUCUCUUGCUAUUUCCACCACCUCUGCAGUUACUUCUUCCACUAAAGUCUUGAACCCCUCAAAGUCAGCCAUGAGUUUUGGAAUUAACUUCUUCCAAAGGCCUGUUAAUGUUAUUUUGACAUCUUCCCAUGAAUCACAAAUUUUCUUAAUGGCAUCUAGAAUGGUGAGUCCUCUCUGGAAAGAUUUUUAUUUCCUUUGCCCAGAUCCAUUUGAGGAACCACCAUGGAUCGCAGCUACAGUUUUACAGAAUUUAUUUCUUAAAUAAUAAGAUGUGAAAGUAGAAAUGACUCCUUGAUAAGAAUGGAUAUUGUGUUAGCAAGAAUGAAUACAACAUUAAUCUCAUUGUAUAUCUCCAUCAGAGCUCAUGGGUGACCAAAUGCAUUGUCAAUCACCAGUAAUAUUUUGAAAGAAAUAUUUUUUCCUCCUGAGCAGUAGGUCUCAACAGUGGGCUUAAAAUAUUCAGUAAACUAUGUUGUAAACAGACAUGCGGUCAUCCAGGCUUUGUUCCAUUUAGAGUGCAGGCAGAGUAGAUUUAGCAUAAUUCUUAAAAGCCCUAGGAUUUUCAGAAUGGUACAUGAGCAGUAGCUUCCACUUAUAGUCACCAGCUGCAUUAGCCCCUAACAAGAGUCAGACUGUCCUUUGGAGCUUUGGAGCCAGAUUUCUCCUCUAUAGGUAUGAAAGUCCUGGAGGACAUCUUCAAACAGAAAGCUAUUUUGUCUACGUUGAAAAUCUGUUGUUUCUAGUAGCCACCCUUGUUAAUGAUCUCAGCUAGACCUUCUGGAUCACGUGUCGCAGCUCCUCCAUCAGCACCUGCUGCUUCACUUUGCACUUGUCUGUUAGGGACACGGCUUCUUUCCUUAAAUCUCAUGAAUCAACCUCUCCCGCCUUCCAACUUUUCUUCUGCAGUUUCUUUACUUCUCUUGGCCUUCACAGAAUUGAAGAGAGUUAGGGUCUUGCUCUGGAUUAGACUUUGUUUUAAUGGAAUAUAGUGGUUGGUUUGAUCUUCUAUCCACACCAAACUUUCUCCAUAUCAGCAAUAGGCUGUUUUGCUUUCUUAUCAUUUGUGUGUUUACUGAAGUAGCAUUUUUAAUAUCCUUCAAGAACUUUUCCUUUGCAUGGUGAACUCAGGUAACUGGAGCAAGAGGUCUAGUUUUUAGUCUGUCUUGAGUUUCAGCAUGCUUUCCACACUAGGCUUAAUCAUUUCUAGCUCUUGAUUUCAGGUGAGAGCCAUGAGACUCUUCCUUUCAUUUAAACACUUAGAAGCCACUGUUGGGUUAUUAAUUGACCUAAUUUUAAUAUUGCUGUGUCUCAGGUAAUAGGCGGGCUUCAGAUGGGGGAACAAUUGGUCAGUGGAGCAAUCAGAAAACACAGAGGCUGGCUGUCUCAAUCUGUGGGGCAUGAGACUCUUGAGCGCAGGGUUGUGGGUUCGAGCCCCAUGCUGGGUGUAGAGAUUACUUAAAACUAAUAAAAAUCUUAAAAAAAAGAUACAUGAUAUUUAUAAAUUAUGUUCUCUGUCUUAUACGGGUGUGGUUCAUGAUGUCCCAAAAAUAAUUUUAGGAGUAACACCAAAAAGAUCACUGAUCACAGCUCACCAUAACAAAUAUAAAAAUAAUGAAAAAGUUUGAAAUAUUGCGAGAAAUACCAAAUGUAACACAGAGACACAAAGUGAGCAAAUGCUGUUGGAAAAAUGGUGCCUAUAGACUCAUUCUAUGUGGGGUUGCCAUAAACUUUCAAUUUGUAAAAAAAAAAAAAACAAAACACAAUAUCUGCAAAGUGCAAUAAAAUGAGGUAUGUCUGUAUUUAUUAACUCUUAUCAACACUUAUUACACUGUUUAAUUUGCUUUAUAACCCUUCACAGUUUUCAUCUGGCAACAUAUUAUAUAUUGUAUAUUUCCUACCUUUAUAACUUGAUUUCCAUGGUGAGCAGAACAACUUAUUUGUUUUGUUCAUAGCUGUUAAUAGUAGAAGUGUUUGACACAUGUUAGUGCUUCAAAAAUAAUUUCUGAAUAGAUGAAUAGGUCCUUAUGCUGAAGAAACAUAUUGAAGAUCACAUGUUCAGACACCCCAUACCUCUAGAUUUCUCUUAAUCCAAUAUGUAAUAUAAUAUAUUAUACAUUGAAAGAUGUGGAAAAUAAAAUAAUUCAUUGACAAAACACUAGAGGGAUGUUUUUUUAACCUAGACCAGGGGUUGGUUUCUGGAUUGUAUUAGCACCACCUAGAAACUAAGAAUUAUUUUCUUUUAAUGUUUUAAUGGUUAAAACACUUCAAAAGGGAGAUAAUAUAUUUUGGCAAAUUAAAACUAUAUGAAACUCUACUUUCAGUAGAAACAUACAUAAAGUUUUUUGAAACAGACACGUUCAUUUGUUUAUACACUGUCUUUGUCAACAUCAGAGUUAAGGAGUUGUACCCAAAACUAAAUGGCUCACAAAGCCUAAAAUGUGUAUUACUUGGCACUUUAGAGAAAAAAAAAUAUUUACUAACUCUUGGUUUGGAGACAUUCAGAUGAUUCAUACCUAGCCUAAGUAAAGUCAAUUUUUAUAUCAUCUCUUCAUUUUGGAUAUUCAUCUUCUUUGCCAUACUGUUGUAAGCACAAAUUUGGAUUCCAGUUUAAGUAUCAGAUAACCAGUAGGAGUUGUCAUUUUUAGGAGUAUUGCUAAUUUUCAUCAUUGUGAUCGCAGUCCAUGAUUAUAAUAGGUUGAUUGAAAUGAGAUAUCAUAUAGCUAAUAGAAACAAUUCAAAGAUACAAAAUAUCUCCCAAACAUCUGUCAUUUAACUACCAUCAUAUCAAUAAUCUAUACACUGGGGAUUAAAAAAAAAAAGCAAACAUGCAACAAUACCAAAAGAUUGCUGCUAUUUUUCUUUCCUUUACUAGGGAAAUAAUUGUGGCCAGCUUUAAUAAUUCAUUCCACAGGAACAAGUGUUGGAGAGUGAUUCAGAGAGUAACUUUGAGAUUGAGAAUUACAGAUCCACUUUUUGCAAAAGUAUAUGUUCCACCUUCUAUUUUAGUAUUUAUUUAUGUCCUAUGACACUGUUAUGGUAUUUGAAAUGAACCAUGUUUAAAUUUGGUAUACUGCCUGUGAUCCACGACCUGUUACUUAGACAUUGUGACAAAUGCAUUGUUUCGCAGAGCCUACACUGUUCUAUUUACUUUGAGAAUACCUUAGUCCCUUUAACAUAAUUUCACAACAUUUAUUAUGAGCCCUUGGUGUUGUAUGUAAGCCAAUUUGACAACAAGUUAUAUUAAAAAAUAUUUAUUACAGUGUUGUACAUCUUUCCCUGAGACUAUUACCUUUUUCUAAAAAUAUAUGGAUUGCUAAAAUUCUACACUUAUAGGUGCUUCCAUUUUAAUUUCUCCUAUUGCCUCCAUAAGAACUCUGACAAAGAUUUUGUAGGUGGGGGUGUAGGGUGAGGAAUAAGCUCUAUUGAGCUUAUUCACCAGAGUAGAAAUAAUGUCUGCACAGAACCAAAUGUUUGUUACUAUAACUUCUGCAUCAUAAUUAAAAUACAAACUAAAAAAAAAUAGUUCAGAAUCAGUGGCUUCUUCGAAGCCAUAAUAACACUUAAAAAUGGUUAAGACUGAAAUAUAAAACUUUUAUUGGUUGGAAAGCUAAUGAAACUUGUUCAAAUAGAAUUACAAAAGGGAAAACUUACGUUUUCCACAGAGAUACAAUCCCUGGAAAUCACCAACACUGGGCAGUUGUGAGGUUAUUUACAGUCCGGAGAUAAUAAGGAAUCCAGUUAUCCUAAAGACCAUCUUCUGUUAUCUUGUUUUCCCUAUGUUGUGCUGAAUGGCAACAACUGUAGCUUUGAUGACAGAGUCCAAUCUUCCUCUCCACGGAGAGCAAGAUGCAACUGACAAGGAGUAAUUGCUCUUUUCCUUUAAGUCUUUUGAUGAGGUACCUGCCUUUAUGGUGAGGUACUUCAAGAUGGCUGCACGGUACACAGGGGCAGUCAUACCCACAUGUCAAUGGCUAGUCUUCCUAAAUUUCAGGUGCCAUGAACAUAAUAUGGCCAACCAAGAACUGUAAGCUGGUCUCUGCGAGCAGGAAACCAGCUUGGCCUUGGCCUUUCCAGGGUCAUUCUCAGGCUUAUUAUCAGCCCUUUCAAAUUCUGCUGAAGCUCCAAUCAGCAAGACAGAGAGAGGGCUAGGAUUCAAACUGCCAGAU
rnacentral:lncRNA from 1 species